rnacentral:rRNA from 1 species
CAGCCGCCACGGUAAUACAGAGGGUGCAAGCGUUAAUCGGAAUUACUGGGCGUAAAGCGCGCGUAGGUGGUUUGUUAAGUUGGAUGUGAAAGCCCCGGGCUCAACCUGGGAACUGCAUCCAAAACUGGCAAGCUAGAGUACGGUAGAGGGUGGUGGAAUUUCCUGUGUAGCGGUGAAAUGCGUAGAUAUAGGAAGGAACACCAGUGGCGAAGGCGACCACCUGGACUGAUACUGACACUGAGGUGCGAAAGCGUGGGGAGCAAACAGGAUUAGAUACCCCCUGUAGUCCCUGUCUCUUAUA